GUGCUCUCUUCGCAGCACAUAUACUAAAAUUAAAACAAUACAGAGAUUAGCAUGGCCUCUGCGCAAGGAUGACACACAAAUUCAUGAAGCGUUCCAUAUUUUU